rnacentral:rRNA from 1 species
AUUGAACGCUGGCGGCAGGCCUAACACAUGCAAGUCGAGCGGAUGAAGGGAGCUUGCUCCUGGCUGCAGCGGCGGACGGGCGAGUAAUGCCUAGGAAUCUGCCUGGCAGUGGGGGAUAACGUCCGGAAACGGGCGCUAAUACCGCAUCCGUCCUGAUGGUGAACGUGGGGGUUCAUCAGACCUCACCCUACCAGAUGAGCCUAGGUCGGAUUAGCUAGUUGGUGGGGUAAAGGCCUACCAAGGCGACGAUCCGUAGCUGGUCUGAGAGGAUGAUCAGCCACACUGGAACUGAGACACGGUCCAGACUCCUACGGGAGGCAGCAGUGGGGAAUAUUGGACAAUGGGCGAAAGCCUGACCCAGCCAUGCCGCGUGUGUGAAGAAGGUCUUCGGAUUGUAAAGCACUUUAAGUUGGGAGGAAGGGAAGUAAGUUAAUACCUUGCUGUUUUGACGUUACCAACAGAAUAAGCACCGGCUAACUUCGUG